rnacentral:tRNA from 1 species
GUUUAUAUAAUUCAAUUAAGAAUAUUGCAUUGAAGCUGCAAAAGUGAUAGGUUUAUCUGUAAGCA